UCCCUGAUACCUAAGUUGGUAAAGAAUCUGCCUGCAAUGCAGGAGACUCUGGUUAGAUUUCUGGGUCGGGAAG
rfam:TPA: Bos taurus chromosome X, whole genome shotgun sequence.